rnacentral:rRNA from 1 species
GAUGAACGCUGGCGGCGUGCCUAAUACAUGCAAGUCGAGCGAACAGACGAGGAGCUUGCUCCUCUGACGUUAGCGGCGGACGGGUGAGUAACACGUGGAUAACCUACCUAUAAGACUGGGAUAACUUCGGGUAACCGGAGCUAAUACCGGAUAAUAUAUUGAACCGCAUGGUUCAAUAGUGAAAGACGGUUUUGCUGUCACUUAUAGAUGGAUCCGCGCCGCAUUAGCUAGUUGGUAAGGUAACGGCUUACCAAGGCAACGAUGCGUAGCCGACCUGAGAGGGUGAUCGGCCACACUGGAACUGAGACACGGUCCAGACUCCUACGGGAGGCAGCAGUAGGGAAUCUUCCGCAAUGGGCGAAAGCCUGACGGAGCAACGCCGCGUGAGUGAUGAAGGUCUUCGGAUCGUAAAACUCUGUUAUUAGGGAAGAACAAAUGUGUAAGUAACUAUGCACGUCUUGACGGUACCUAAUCAGAAAGCCACGGCUAACUACGU